rnacentral:rRNA from 1 species
GGUUAAGCGACUAAGCGUACACGGUGGAUGCCUUGGCAGUCAGAGGCGAUGAAGGGCGUGCUAAUCUGCGAUAAGCGCCGGUAAGGUGAUAUGAACCGUUAUAACCGGCGAUACCCGAAUGGGGAAACCCAGUGUGACUCGUCACACUAUCAUUAACUGAAUCCAUAGGUUAAUGAGGCGAACCGGGGGAACUGAAACAUCUAAGUACCCCGAGGAAAAGAAAUCAACCGAGAUUCCCCCAGUAGCGGCGAGCGAACGGGGAGGAGCCCAGAGCCUGAAUCAGCAUGUGUGUUAGUGGAAGCGUCUGGAAAGGCGCGCGAUACAGGGUGACAGCCCCGUACACAAAAGCGCAUGUGCUGUGAGCUCGAUGAGUAGGGCGGGACACGUGGUAUCCUGUCUGAAUAUGGGGGGACCAUCCUCCAAGGCUAAAUACUCCUGACUGACCGAUAGUGAACCAGUACCGUGAGGGAAAGGCGAAAAGAACCCCGGCGAGGGGAGUGAAAAAGAACCUGAAACCGUGUACGUACAAGCAGUGGGAGCCCCACCACUAAGCCAGUGGUGAACUCCACAUCCGCAUCCUUUGCUGAGGAUACGGUUAACGGAGCGAAAGCGACGUUCAACCGCAAAACAAGCAGAGGGGGCUUAGUGGUGGGGUGACUGCGUACCUUUUGUAUAAUGGGUCAGCGACUUAUAUUCUGUAGCAAGGUUAACCGAAUAGGGGAGCCGGAGGGAAACCGAGUCUUAAUUGGGCGUUAAGUUGCAGGGUAUAGACCCGAAACCCGGUGAUCUAGCCAUGGGCAGGUUGAAGGUUGGGUAACACUAACUGGAGGACCGAACCGACUAAUGUUGAAAAAUUAGCGGAUGACCUGUGGCUGGGGGUGAAAGGCCAAUCAAACCGGGAGAUAGCUGGUUCUCCCCGAAAGCUAUUUAGGUAGCGCCUCGUGAAUUCAUCUCCGGGGGUAGAGCACUGUUUCGGCUAGGGGGCCAUCCCGGCUUACCAACCCGAUGCAAACUGCGAAUACCGGAGAAUGUUAUCACGGGAGACACACGGCGGGUGCUAACGUCCGUCGUGAAGAGGGAAACAACCCAGACCGCCAGCUAAGGUCCCAAAGUCAUGGUUAAGUGGGAAACGAUGUGGGAAGGCCCAGACAGCCAGGAUGUUGGCUUAGAAGCAGCCAUCAUUUAAAGAAAGCGUAAUAGCUCACUGGUCGAGUCGGCCUGCGCGGAAGAUGUAACGGGGCUAAACCAUGCACCGAAGCUGCGGCAGCGACGCUGAUGCGUUGUUGGGUAGGGGAGCGUUCUGUAAGCCUGCGAAGGUGACCUGUGAGGGUUGCUGGAGGUAUCAGAAGUGCGAAUGCUGACAUAAGUAACGAUAAAGCGGGUGAAAAGCCCGCUCGCCGGAAGACCAAGGGUUCCUGUCCAACGUUAAUCGGGGCAGGGUGAGUCGACCCCUAAGGCGAGGCCGAAAGGCGUAGUUGAUGGGAAACGGGUUAAUAUUCCCGUACUUGGUGUUACUGCGAAGGGGGGACGGAGAAGGCUAUGUUGGCCGGGCGACGGUUGUCCCGGUUUAAGCGUGUAGGUGUGUGUUCCAGGUAAAUCCGGUUCACUUUAACACUGAGGCGUGAUGACGAGGCACUACGGUGCUGAAGCAACAAAUGCCCUGCUUCCAGGAAAAGCCUCUAAGCAUCAGGUAACAUCAAAUCGUACCCCAAACCGACACAGGUGGUCAGGUAGAGAAUACCAAGGCGCUUGAGAGAACUCGGGUGAAGGAACUAGGCAAAAUGGUGCCGUAACUUCGGGAGAAGGCACGCUGACACGUAGGUGAAGUGAUUUACUCAUGGAGCUGAAGUCAGUCGAAGAUACCAGCUGGCUGCAACUGUUUAUUAAAAACACAGCACUGUGCAAACACGAAAGUGGACGUAUACGGUGUGACGCCUGCCCGGUGCCGGAAGGUUAAUUGAUGGGGUCAGCGCAAGCGAAGCUCCUGAUCGAAGCCCCGGUAAACGGCGGCCGUAACUAUAACGGUCCUAAGGUAGCGAAAUUCCUUGUCGGGUAAGUUCCGACCUGCACGAAUGGCGUAAUGAUGGCCAGGCUGUCUCCACCCGAGACUCAGUGAAAUUGAACUCGCUGUGAAGAUGCAGUGUACCCGCGGCAAGACGGAAAGACCCCGUGAACCUUUACUAUAGCUUGACACUGAACAUUGAGCCUUGAUGUGUAGGAUAGGUGGGAGGCUUUGAAGUGUGGACGCCAGUCUGCAUGGAGCCGACCUUGAAAUACCACCCUUUAAUGUUUGAUGUUCUAACGUGGACCCGUAAUCCGGGUUGCGGACAGUGUCUGGUGGGUAGUUUGACUGGGGCGGUCUCCUCCUAAAGAGUAACGGAGGAGCACGAAGGUUGGCUAAUCCUGGUCGGACAUCAGGAGGUUAGUGCAAUGGCAUAAGCCAGCUUGACUGCGAGCGUGACGGCGCGAGCAGGUGCGAAAGCAGGUCAUAGUGAUCCGGUGGUUCUGAAUGGAAGGGCCAUCGCUCAACGGAUAAAAGGUACUCCGGGGAUAACAGGCUGAUACCGCCCAAGAGUUCAUAUCGACGGCGGUGUUUGGCACCUCGAUGUCGGCUCAUCACAUCCUGGGGCUGAAGUAGGUCCCAAGGGUAUGGCUGUUCGCCAUUUAAAGUGGUACGCGAGCUGGGUUUAGAACGUCGUGAGACAGUUCGGUCCCUAUCUGCCGUGGGCGCUGGAGAACUGAGGGGGGCUGCUCCUAGUACGAGAGGACCGGAGUGGACGCAUCACUGGUGUUCGGGUUGUCAUGCCAAUGGCACUGCCCGGUAGCUAAAUGCGGAAGAGAUAAGUGCUGAAAGCAUCUAAGCACGAAACUUGCCCCGAGAUGAGUUCUCCCUGAGACUUUAGGUCUCCUGAAGGAACGUUGAAGACGACGACGUUGAUAGGCCGGGUGUGUAAGCGCAGCGAUGCGUUGAGCUAACCGGUACUAAUGAACCGUGAGGCUUAACCUU